CUACGUGCCAGCAGCCGCGGUAAUACGGAGGGUGCGAGCGUUAAUCGGAAUAACUGGGCGUAAAGGGCACGCAGGCGGUGACUUAAGUGAGGUGUGAAAGCCCCGGGCUUAACCUGGGAAUUGCAUUUCAUACUGGGUCGCUAGAGUACUUUAGGGAGGGGUAGAAUUCCACGUGUAGCGGUGAAAUGCGUAGAGAUGUGGAGGAAUACCGAAGGCGAAGGCAGCCCCUUGGGAAUGUACUGACGCUCAUGUGCGAAAGCGUGGGGAGCAAACAGGAUUAGAUACCCUGGUAGUCCACGCUGUAAACGAUGUCGAUUUGGGGGUUGAACUUUAAGUUUGGCGCCCGUAGCUAACGUGAUAAAUCGACCGCCUGGGGAGUACGGCCGCAAGGUUAAAACUCAAAUGAAUUGACGGGGGCCCGCACAAGCGGUGGAGCAUGUGGUUUAAUUCGAUGCAACGCGAAGAACCUUACCUACUCUUGACAUCCAGAGAAUUCGCUAGAGAUAG
rnacentral:rRNA from 1 species